AGGUUGACCUCGGAUCAGGUAGGGAUACCCGCUGAACUUAAGCAUAUCAAUAAGCGGAGGAAAAGAAACCAACAGGGAUUGCCUCAGUACGGCGAGUGAAGCGGCAAGAGCUCAAAUUUGAAAUCCGGCCCCCCUGGGGGCCUGAGUUGUAAUUUGCAGAGGAUGCUUCGGGCGCGACCGCGGUCCAAGUCCCCUGGAACGGGGCGUCGUAGAGGGUGAGAAUCCCGUCUCCGGCCGGCCGGUCUCGCCCGUGUGAAGCUCCUUCGACGAGUCGAGUUGUUUGGGAAUGCAGCUCCAAAUGGGUGGUAAAUUUCAUCUAAAGCUAAAUACUGGUCGGAGACCGAUAGCGCACAAGUAGAGUGAUCGAAAGAUGAAAAGCACUUUGAAAAGAGAGUUAAACAGCAUGUGAAAUUGUUGAAAGGGAAGCGCUUGCGACCAGAGUCGGCCGCGGGGGUUCAGCGGGCAUUCGUUGCCCGUGCAAUCCCCCGCGGCCGGGCCAGCGUCGGUUUCGACGGCCGGUCAAAGGCCCCCGGAAUGUGUCGCCUCUCGGGGCGUCUUAUAGCCGGGGGUGCAAUGCGGCCAGUCGGGACCGAGGAACGCGCUCCGGCACGGACGCUGGCUUAAUGGUCGUCAGCGACCCG
rnacentral:rRNA from 1 species